CGAGUCGGCUGGGCGGUCGCGUCGGCACCCCCACCGGGAUGCCGCCGAGGAACGUCCGGACUCCGCAGAGCAGGGUGGUUGCUAACGGCAACCCGGGGUGACCCGCGGGAAAGUGCCACAGAGAACAGACCGCCGGCCCACGGGCCGGUAAGGGUGAAACGGUGGGGUAAGAGCCCACCAGCACCCCGGGCGACCGGGGUGGCUCGGUAAACCCCACCCGGAGCAAGGCCAAGAAAGGCCGCCGCCGCAAGGCAGCGACCGGCGCAGGCGUCCGAGGGCUGCUCGCCCGAGCCUGCGGGUAGGCCGCAAGAGCCUGUCGGCAACGGCAGGCCGAGAUGGAUGACCGCCCAGCGGCGAGAGAUCGCCGCGGACAGAAUCCGGCGUACAGGCCGACUCGUCCG
rnacentral:RNase_P_RNA from 1 species